UUUUCUCGUCUGAUUUUGGUUAUUCGAUUAGAGGACACCACCGGACGAGAUGCUUUUCGAUGUGUUGAGACGAUGAUGAUUUUUUUACUUCCUCAGUCUUAAGAUCCCCGCGUUAGUUCCUGGCCUGGCAAAGUGUGGGAGAUAAGGAUGAGAUGUUUCUCGCCUUUUGUUUGACGGUUUUGAGGGGAGAUGAGGGGAUAGAUUGCAG
rnacentral:lncRNA from 1 species